UAAAUUCAGUGUGUUUCUCGGCGCGCAAAGCUAUAAAUAAUGGCACAGAUCAUUAAACCCCGAGAGCAGGCCCAGCCGCCCCGCAAACAAGAUGAAGUACAAACCACCACGUGAGGAGGAGAGAGGGAGGUACAAGGCAGAGCCCCAGACCAAGGGCCAACAGGCCCCAGCCUGUACCUCUCAGCGUGCCCACAGAAAUGGGCUUGAGGAUGGACCACAAGAACUGCUCAAAGCACCUGGACUAGUAACAAGAGGUGACAAGCUGAGGCCUACGAUGGUAAGUACCUUCCAUCCUACACCCCUCCCUCUUUGUUCCUCUGAUCUCUCCUCCUGUCUUCCCUUGCCAAGCUCUUUCUAUUCUCUCAUCUUCUCAUGUCCUCCCUUAAUUCCCUUUCCAAUCAUGCUGCCUCAAUAAACUUCAAGUUAGCUUUCUGUUCACUCUCAUGGCAACCCCUCCAACCACCAGCAGGACCUGGUGUGACUGCACAUGAUCAGCAGACCCUUCGUUUUGGGGCCAGUUGUCAGGUAGCAACCCCUGAAAAAAUCAUACAGCAGCUGAAGUGAAAUACAACAAUGUCUUCAGAGCACUUUUACCCACAUUCCUUCUAAAAAGAUCUGAGAUGGCCUACCGUAUAAGACACAGAUCGUUUAGGCUGAGGAUACCAUCUGCCUGAGAGAACCCUCCUCUUGGAGUCUUGCUCCUCAAAAUGUGACUUCAGAGCCAGCAGCAUUGGCAUCCCUGGAAGCGUGGUACCAAUGCAUUCUUGGACCUCAACUCAGACCUAUUCAAUCCAACUCUCCAGUUUAGCAAGAUCCCCAGGUGAUUUUUAUGUACAUUAAAGUUUGAAAGCAAUACUCUAAAGAACCAGAAAUGCCAGACCAGGGUCCAACAGGGAAACUGAAUGCCUAAGACAUUCAUUCAUUCAUUUACCCAUUCAAUAAAUACUUAAUAAGCAU
rnacentral:lncRNA from 1 species